rnacentral:tRNA from 1 species
CUGCUUGUUAGCUCAGUUGGUAGAGCGCUCCGCUGGAAACGGAGAGAUCCAUAGUUCGAUGCCCGGUCCAGGCGGA